AUGUCGGAGAGCGAGUGAUACUCACCAAAUACCUGAGUAGAAGCCACGCCCAUCACCACCUCAUCAAUACCCAGUUUUCCACCUACAUCAUGGAUGAACGGGUUCCCGCUAUCCCCAUGCUGAAAUGGGAUCAUAUGAUGGAGUCUCCACCGAUGUUUGCUUGCGAUUUGCCAGCACAGACCCCGAGGCAAACGUGCAAACUGCUGCUGGGUGCUCAGAGGUCACAGGAACUCAUGUUACUGCAGUACACGGGCGGGAGAGAGCACGUCUGUCAGACUCGGGAUCCGUUCUAAAGCUUUCAAGUCCCAAAGAGAGUCUGAGCCACCUAAACCGUCUGCUACCCCACGAGAGACACCUCGCUCAGAAGAGACUGAACGCGUCUGCUGCA